UAGGGAAUCUUCCGCAAUGGACGAAAGUCUGACGGAGCAACGCCGCGUGAGCGAAGAAGGUCUUCGGAUCGUAAAGCUCUGUUGUUAGGGAAGAACAAGUAUCGGAGGAAAUGCCGGUACCUUGACGGUACCUGACGAGAAAGCCACGGCUAACUACGUGCCAGCAGCCGCGGUAAUACGUAGGUGGCAAGCGUUGUCCGGAAUUAUUGGGCGUAAAGCGCGCGCAGGCGGUCCUUUAAGUCUGAUGUGAAAUCUUGCGGCUCAACCGGGAGGGGGGCAUGGAAAACGGGGGGGUUGGAGGGAGGAAGAGGAAGGGGGA
rnacentral:rRNA from 1 species